rnacentral:rRNA from 1 species
GAUGAACGCUGGCGGCGUGCCUAAUACAUGCAAGUCGAGCGAACGGACGAGAAGCUUGCUUCUCUGAUGUUAGCGGCGGACGGGUGAGUAACACGUGGAUAACCUACCUAUAAGACUGGGAUAACUUCGGGAAACCGGAGCUAAUACCGGAUAAUAUUUUGAACCGCAUGGUUCAAAAGUGAAAGACGGUCUUGCUGUCACUUAUAGAUGGAUCCGCGCUGCAUUAGCUAGUUGGUAAGGUAACGGCUUACCAAGGCAACGAUGCAUAGCCGGCCUGAGAGGGUGAUCGGCCACACUGGAGCUGAGACACGGUCCAGACUCCUACGGGAGGCAGCAGUAGGGAAUCUUCCGCAAUGGGCGAAAGCCUGACGGAGCAACGCCGCGUGAGUGAUGAAGGUCUUCGGAUCGUAAAACUCUGUUAUUAGGGAAGAACAUAUGUGUAAGUAACUGUGCACAUCUUGACGGUACCUAAUCAGAAAGCCACGGCUAACUACGUG